ensembl:lncRNA novel transcript
UGCCAAUGAAUAUAAAACAGGCAGAAAAACAUGGACAGAGAGAGAGAAGAGCGUAGCCUCCCAGCCUACAUCUUUCUCCCAUGCUGGAUGUUUCCUGCCCUCAAACAUUGGACUCCAAGUUCUUCAGUUUUAGGAUUCAGACUGGCUUCCUUGCUCCUCAGCUUGCAGACAGCCUAUUGUGGGAACUUGUGAUCGUGUUUGGCCGCUGACGAGCACCAGCAGGAUAUGAGGAGGAAGGAGAGUGAGGUCAGUGUGUUCAUUCUCACCACUUCCUUCUUGGACUCACUUCCAGGCUCACUGAAGUUUGCAUCUCAAGUCAGUUUGAUGAGGAGGCAUCAUUUUUGCCAAGUGCAAGAUCAGUUUUGGUGGCAGAAUGUCUAUAUAGAAAGUUCUUCUGGAGGUCAUCAGUGAAGUCAAUUUCCCCCUCUAAUUCCACAUUCCUUCUACUCACAGAAUGUGCCCAAUGGCACAGGAAAUUCUCAAGGGUUUUUUGGCAUUAAGAAAUGACUUCAUUGUUUCAUUAGCUGGAAAAUCUGGAUCUGAUCUUUGGAAGAAGGAUUUGGAACAUAGUGACUGUACCUUUAAUGAAAAGAUUAACAAUGCUUCAGAGCUGAAUUGCCCUGGAUUUGUUUAGAAUAGGCCUUGCGUUUUGCUUUUUUGAGGAGGAACUUACAUACCAAGUCUUGUCCUGGAUUUAUAUACCAUUCCAAUCCCCUCGCCCAUGUUCUAAAUAAAGACAUGGAGUUCAGUAGGGAGACUCGGAGAAGAAGCUGGUACAAUUCAAAAGCAAGUGAACUAUUUCUCAAUAAGACUUGGAAUUCCAACUUCUGGUUAAUUGUAAAUAUGAUUUGGAGGAAGAAGUAGCACAUCAGGGAGCUAAG